rnacentral:rRNA from 1 species
GAUGAACGCUGGCGGCGUGCCUAAUACAUGCAAGUCGAGCGAACAGACGAGGAGCUUGCUCCUCUGACGUUAGCGGCGGACGGGUGAGUAACACGUGGAUAACCUACCUAUAAGACUGGGAUAACUUCGGGAAACCGGAGCUAAUACCGGAUAAUAUAUUGAACCGCAUGGUUCAAUAGUGAAAGACGGUUUUGCCGUCACUUAUAGAUGGAUCCGCGCCGCAUUAGCUAGUUGGUAAGGUAACGGCUUACCAAGGCAACGAUGCGUAGCCGACCUGAGAGGGUGAUCGGCCACACUGGAACUGAGACACGGUCCAGACUCCUACGGGAGGCAGCAGUAGGGAAUCUUCCGCAAAGGGCGAAAGCCUGACGGAGCAACGCCGCGUGAGUGAUGAAGGUCUUCGGAUCGUAAAACUCUGUUAUUAGGGAAGAACAAAUGUGUAAGUAACUAUGCACGUCUUGACGGUACCUAAUCAGAAAGCCACGGCUAACUACGUG